UACGGGGGGGGCAAGCGUUGUUCGGAAUUACUGGGCGUAAAGGGCUCGUAGGCGGCCAACUAAGUCAGACGUGAAAUCCCGGGGCUCAACCCCGGAACUGCAUUGGAUACUGCCUUGCUUGAGUACUGGAGAGGGAACUGGAAUUUACGGUGUAGCAGUGAAAUGCGUAGAGAUCGUAAGGAAGGCCAGUGGCGAAGGCGAGUUCCUGGACAGUGACUGACGCUGAGGCACGAAGGCCAGGGGAGCAAACGGG
rnacentral:rRNA from 1 species